GAAGCUGGCUAGACAGUCGCCGUUCGCAUUUAACUUGUCAGUUUACUGACUUAGUUAAAUGGCGAAGCCCCUCGCGGGCUUACGCAACGAAGGGAGGAAAGUCCGGGCUGCAUAGAGCAAGAUGACGGCUAACGGCCGUACGCUGAAAUCUUUCUGGCGAAAGCUGGGAAUUAUAAGGCGCGGAAUAGGGCCACAGAGACGAGCGUAUUAAGUUACGGUGAAACGCGGUAACCUCCAUCUGCAGCAAUAUCAAAUAGGCUGGCACUUUUAUUUGUGUGAAGGUACGCAAGUAAAUAAGGCGUGGCUCGCGCUGCCAGCGGGUAGAUAGCUCGAGCGCACAAGCAAUUGUACGCCUAGAUGAAUGACUGUCACCUUAGCAAUAAGGCUACAGAACCCGGCUUACCGGCCAGCUUCACUU
rnacentral:RNase_P_RNA from 1 species